AGGACCCAUAACCUAUACAAGAACCUCUGGUGUAAAACUUUUUCAGAAGAUAAGUAAGAAACUGAAAUGAGCCCUGAGCAAGCUGCCCUCUGUCCUGGAGACAGAUUAUUAUGUUGUACAAAGGGGAAUCCAGGCAUUUUCACAAGGCAUGAACAUUAUAGGUGAGACUUACCCUUUUCUCAGCAGGAAAAGGAGAUGGUAGCUUGGCAGAGAGCCCGGAUGCAGAUCAGCCCUAGUAGAACAAACCACCUGGAAACCUUCAAAAAUAUUCAGAAAAACUCAGAACCACUAAAAAAUGUGAACUCCUGUAUCUUGAUUGGAGCUCCUCCUCUGAAAAAAAGUUAUAUUCCAUUAUGGGUUACAAUACCCAACACCUUAUAAGCUUAGUUUCUUGGGUAACUCAUCCAGUCUCACAGUUUUAAGUAUCAUCUAUAGCAGCAGCCUAUAAUUUUGAGGUAAGUAUAACUGUUGUCCUCACUGGCCUCUGCUGCAGUAGUAUCCCUUUCUCUCUUGUCCCUGAUAACCAUGCUGGCAUCUGUUACUGAAGUCUAUGGCUAGCUAGGGAACAUGAGAGAUUUCAAAUCAG
rnacentral:lncRNA from 1 species